rnacentral:lncRNA from 1 species
AAGAGGUGGUGACGAGAAAUAUUUUGGCAGGUCAUUGGCGAUGUAUUGAAUCAAGUUUAAGAAUUUAGACAUAUUUUGAAACUUUACAUUUGAUAGCAUGUGGAAAUGACCAAAAUACUAUUAUUGUGUUUUGUUUUUUGUUGUGUUGGGUGAUUGUAUUACUUAUAUAUGAUGAUUCAGUCUUACUUAUAUAUGUUGUCCUAAACUUUUAUCUGUUGUGAGAGAUAUUUCGAUGCAAAAUGUAGGAUUUCUGCUUGUUGAUCUGUGAUUUGUUUGGAAAGCUUUCUAUCAUAUUUAUGAGAAUUGGCUCUUUUUGUCCUAAAUUUUAUUUGGUUUUGAGAGAAUUAAAUUGAAAUUAAAGGUUAAAAAUUAAGAAUGAGAAAUUAUGUUAUUUUUUAGCAAUUUAUAUUAAAUUAAUAAUAUUUAUUACUACUAAUCAUUUUUUAAAAAAAAUUAAUUUAAAAAAAUUAAUUUUAUAUCAGAAAAUGGUGGCGACAACAGUCGCCACCAUAAAUUGUAAAGUUUUCGCGGCGACAGUUCAUCGUCGCUAAUUAUAUAACUUUAGCGGCGACAAACUGUCGCCACUAAAUAUUUCGGUCCGGGUUGUUUUUUCGCGGCGCUGAUAUGCUGCCGCUAAUUAUGUAACUUUUAGCGGCGACGGUACGUCGCCACUAAUUAUCUACUUUUAGCGGCGACACAUUGUCGCCAUUAAUUAUCUAACUUUUAGCGGCGACUCAUUGUCGCCACCAAAUAGUUUUACCGACGGGGCUUUAGGCGGCGGCGUGCGGCGACCGAUUGUCGCCGCCAAAACAUUUUCCGUGGCGACAAUAUUAGCUAU